UUCAUUUAUUGUUAGUCAUUUUAGCCUUCUUUAACCUGGAACAGUUCCUCAACCUUUCUUUGUCUUUCAUGCCAUGGAACAGUUUUGAAGAAUACAGUCUUGCUAUUUCUCUUGUAUGUUUCUUUUUGUGUGUGUAUGCAUGUAUAUUUAUACCUAUUAACAGUAUGGAUGUAUGGAUUCCUCUUUUAUUCAAUGGGUUAUAACCUAUUACUAUACUUCUAUAUUGUGGAUCCUCAAACUGUGUCAGGUUUGGCCUCUUCACGAUGGUGCCUAUGUCCCUUUAAUGCCCUAAUACUUUUUUUAGUACUUACUUCCUGGCACAACAAAAUAUUCCAAACUACCUUGGUAUCUUCCUUGCUCCUCCCCAAGCUGGAAUCAGGAAGGAAGCUUCAAAGGGCCCUGGGACCUGGGAUCUUUCUGUGGAAUAUUUAGAAGCCAAGAUCUGGGAACUAGCAACUCAUCACCCAACGCUGGAUUCAGUGUAACUCCUAUCUGUGCUCAUACGCUUCACCUGAUACAUCUCAUCUAAUUGUCUGGGUCUACAACUAGCUUAAACUCCUUGAAGACACGAAGCGGUCAAAUUACAGUUGUAUUCAGUGCAUCCAGCCUAAUGUCCUAAUGCCCAACUGAUUUUGAAUGGAUGAAGCCUGGCUUCAUCGCAGAGACUCCGCCCACGAGCACCCAAAUGGCGGAAGAACUGCACGCUACGUCGUGACAUCUCACACAAAUGCGGAGGCAUCCUGACGCUACGCCACCGGCGUGGGCGGGGCGGCCGG